AACUGAUACUACCUGCGGGAACCUGCGGAGGGAUCAUUACCGAAGUGAUUUGGGGAUGUUGCUGGCCCUCUCUCAAGGGGGGGCACUGUGCACUCCUCGAAACAAUUCACAAUUUCCAUCACACCCCUUGUGCACACCUUGUAGGCACCCAAACCCACCUCCGGGUGGUGGGGUCCUAUGUAUUCCUUCAUCUCACACUCUGUUGAAUGGUGCCAUGGGACGCAUCUAAAGGAUUAUUUG
rnacentral:misc_RNA from 1 species